GAAGGACAGCAGAAGCAGUGAAAGAUGGCCUAGUCUUUUUAUUGAGAGGCUUUUGGAGUGCCAUAAACAUGAGCAGUAUCCGGCAGCUGCUCUUCUGCAGCUGGUGAGCUGUGAUGUGGGCAGGAGGGAGGGAAAGGAGGCUGUCCCAGUCCCAAGGUCACUCAGCUCUGAGGGACAGGAUGGAAGACACAAGCCUCAACCAGCCCAUGUCCAGACCUGCAUCUGAUGACAUUAUGAGAUGGAGCCUCACCCCCACUGCUUGAAGGAACACAAUACCUUUCAUAGCUCUGCUGACCAGUGGAUGGUCCUGAAGAAACUGCAUAGACACACACUGCUGUGCCUGGCUCUGUUGUUUAUAAGGCUAGACGACUGGGCAGCGUCAAGAGUGUGAAAUGGACACCCUGGUCGAGAUUCAGAAGCACAAGAGGACUGGGACAGUGACUGUCUGUUUUUGCACUCCCUGCUUUCCUUGUGAGAUAGGAAUUCAUUCCCCAGGAUGCAAGAAAAAGGGCGAGCAGGCUUGCUGAAGCUUGUCACCCCAGCACUUGGGGAUGG